rnacentral:misc_RNA from 1 species
GAAGUGCGAUAAGUAGUGUGAAUUGCAGAAUUCCGUGAAUCAUCGAAUCUUUGAACGCAAAUUGCACUCCCUGGCAUCCCGGGGAGUAUGCCUGUUUGAGGGUCAGUUUAAUAAAAAUCGGGGUGUCGCUCUCGUGACGCACCGGAGGUUGGGUCAUCUUAGCUUUCAGGUUAAGAGGCUUAAAAUUGAUCUUUUUGCGCGCUUUAGACGUACAUAAUUUUUUUAUUCGUUUAUAACGCCAAUUUUUUACUAGGUGCGAACACGUUGCGUGAUCUCGUGCCUAUAAUUCUCUCAUUUUUGACCUCAAAUCAGGUAGGGACACCCGCUGAACUUAA